rnacentral:lncRNA from 1 species
AACACUGUGAAUUCUGUAGGCCCUAUGGUUGAUGUUACUAGAAUAACUUGACUUAGGAUGUUUAAAAUAUAUUUCUUUUUUAUAGGUUUGUUUCUCUUUUAUAGGUGUUUUGUCUCUGUGUAUGUAUGUUCACUACAUACAUGCACUGUGUGUGCUGUGCCUAAGGAGGCCAGAAGAGGACAUUGGGGCCUCUGGAACUGGAAUUAUAGAGGGUUAGCCAAAGCCUGGGUUACAAAGGGUAUCAAACCCAGGUUCUCUGGAAGAGCAGCCAGUGAUAUUAAAUGCUGAAUCAUUUCUCCAUCCCCAAAAUAUAUUUCUAAUACUUAUAAGUCCUCAGGGGAAACAAUGAAAAUAUAAUGUUAGCCAACAUCUACUGAAUGCUAGUUAUAUGCCCAGAAUGGCACGAGAAAUUAUAUCUUUUGUUAAUCUCAUUUAAUCCUCUCUACUAUGAGGUCACAUUGACAAGUUACUUGCAUUUAAAGUCAAAGAUCUCAAAAAAAUUUAGAAAUUCAUGAAUAAUCAGUAGCAAAGCUACUUUAAAAAUGCAAAUAAAUAAAUAAAUAAAUAACUUGGAUAAUUCCAAAACAGUUACUAUUAUAGAUUGAAUUGUUUGCCCCAAAGAAAGACGUAUGGAAGCCCUAACUUCAAGACCUCAAAAUGCAACCUCAUUUGUAAAUAGAUUGGUUUGCAGGUGUAACUAGUUAAAAGACGCUGAGGUCAUAGUAGAACAGGGUUUGAUAUCACAGGUUUGCUUAAAAAAUACAGAUCACUCAGCCCACCGACAUGAGAGGGUCAACAUCAAGGGCCUAGAAGACUUCAUUUUCACAAACACAACAGGGACUUCUGAUGCAAUCAGGUGGCCGCCUUGCAGAGAGUGGGUUUAGACUUUCUCCUGAGGAUUGAAGGAUGUAGAUUAGAUGGAUGCUCAGGUGUCUUCCUGAUCCCAGGAUGUCUACUGGUUUAUCUUGAGCCCAUUUGCCCUGCUUGCACUGGUGCUUUGACAUCUUAGAACUCUCGUCUUUCCUUUCACCUUUCCAGCAAACACUGAUGCCCUUUCUCUGUCUCUUGAUUGUCUGGAUCUGAGGAGCCAAAUAGAAUUAUCUUAACAUGUGAUAAGUAGAUCCUGCAGCUAUCAAUGCUAAAACUAACCCACAGCACAAACAGGAUAGUCAGCAUUCUACCUUAUCAGUCCUUAAUCUGCCCUUGCUCUUAAUCACUCCUAGAUUUCCUAACUCAAGGCUUUGGGGGGAUGGGGUUGGGUUUUAAGGCCUCUGGGAGCUCUGUAAUGUCCUAUAAACUUGCCUACAGAUGAUGAGCCGGUUAGCACAUUUUUCAGAGGUAAAUCUGAUGCCAGGAAAGGAAGGGAACAAUGGGUCCAGACAUCAUGUGACUACCCAGCUCACCUGGCUAUGACCUUGGAUGUUCAUUUUGAUACUUCUAAGGGACACUGUUUGGUCAUGGAGAGAUCUCGGGCAGCUUGAGCAGCUCUGGGGGAUACUGGGAAGGUGGUAGUGGUACCAACACCACAGUCUUUGAAUUUCUACAAAACCCUAUAUAAAAAUGGGUGGAACAAUUAGAUAACAAAACCAGACAUCCAAAGGAUACAUUUUCAACAAAAUUAGGCUCAAAUUGUCUCACAAGACCCAGAUGAAAAGUGAGUAGAGCCAUGAGCAUCUGGAUGGACAAGGAAACAACUGAGAAGGGUCUGGGAGACACUGAGGGCAGCAGCUCCUAAGAGCAGACAGCAUCUCUGGAAGUUGGGAUGCUUUUGAAACAUGAAUGUAAACAUGAAAGAUGUUCAGGGAGUGGUGAGUACCACCUUCUCUAUCAGGGGAAGUGGAGAGGUCUCAGAAAGGGGGGAUAAAGGGGUUAGAGCAAACAGAAGGCUCUAAGUCCUCAGCAUAGAGUCACCAGGACAGGGUGAAAAACUGCCCUGACUGGAAUCAAAAGAAAGAAGGUCACCUGGGCGAUCAAACAGGCAGGGAAGCUCGGAAUACAAGCCACCAUUUAAUGCCAUGUUUGAACAGAAGAGGGGCUCUGAAAUUGGAAAUGGUUUCCUGAAAUCCGAGUCCAUCUGUAAGUUCAAGAAAAAUAAUUUCACAUAGGAAUGAACAUUAAGAAAAGAAUGGAGGCCAGGUUCCAGGUAUCUCUUACAAGAAAAAAUAAAUAAGACAGAAAUAAUAUACACAAGGAAAGUAUACCCCAAAAUAUAGCCGUAGAGUAAUCAGAACAUUAGCUGAGUUAGAAAGCAAUGCACAAAUGAUUCAAGAUACAAAAGGACAGCGUUAAUCAGAAUCAUAAAAUAACGCAAACUCCAAAAAACAAUUUAAAAGAAAAAGAUCAUUUUAGAAAUCAUGGAUAAAUUGCAUAGGCUAUGAAACCAAAUAAACACAAUGAAAAAAAAAACCCUGAAGAUGAAAAAGAUAAAAUUUUC